rnacentral:rRNA from 1 species
UACGAAGGGGGCUAGCGUUGCUCGGAAUCACUGGGCGUACAGCGCACGUAGGCGGAUCUUUAAGUCAGGGGUGAAAUCCCAAGGCUCAACCUUGGAACUGCCUUUGAUACUGGGGAUCUCGAGUCCGGAAGAGGUUGGUGGAACUGCGAGUGUAGAGGUGAAAUUCGUAGAUAUUCGCAAGAACACCAGUGGCGAAGGCGGCCAACUGGUCCGGUACUGACGCUGAGGUGCGAAAGCGUGGGGAGCAAACAGG